rnacentral:rRNA from 1 species
AUGAUGAGGAGCUUGCUCCUCUGAUUUAGCGGCGGACGGGUGAGUAACACGUGGGUAAUCUGCCUGUAAGACGGGGAUAACUCCGGGAAACCGGGGCUAAUACCGGAUAAUAAGAGAAGAAGCAUUUCUUCUUUUUGAAAGUCGGUUUCGGCUGACACUUACAGAUGAGCCCGCGGCGCAUUAGCUAGUUGGUGAGGUAACGGCUCACCAAGGCGACGAUGCGUAGCCGACCUGAGAGGGUGAUCGGCCACACUGGGACUGAGACACGGCCCAGACUCCUACGGGAGGCAGCAGUAGGGAAUCUUCGGCAAUGGGCGAAAGCCUGACCGAGCAACGCCGCGUGAGCGAUGAAGGCCUUCGGGUCGUAAAGCUCUGUUGUUAGAGAAGAACAAGUACGAGAGUAACUGCUCGUACCUUGACGGUACCUAACCAGAAAGCCACGGCUAACUACGUGCCAGCAGCCGCGGUAAUACGUAGGUGGCAAGCGUUAUCCGGAAUUAUUGGGCGUAAAGCGCGCGCAGGCGGUCUCUUAAGUCUGAUGUGAAAGCCCACGGCUCAACCGUGGAGGGUCAUUGGAAACUGGGAGACUUGAGUGCAGGAGAGAAAAGUGGAAUUCCACGUGUAGCGGUGAAAUGCGUAG